GGAGCACCUGUUUUCCGAAAGGAACAGCCACAUAAUGAAGGGGUGUGCAGCCAAAGAAUCUUCGAGAGGGAUGGGGAAAGGCAAUGAAAGAGGAUAAUGAUCUCACAGCUGCUGUCCGUCCUGAUGCUUUGAAGAGUGGAUGACCUGUCUCCGUGCCUGCAAACAAAGGACCAGAGGCAGGAGGCCGGUGGGCAGCCGGAGACACCAGGACUGAAUCCUAUUCCAUCAUAUGUAUAGACCACGUUUCAUUCAUCCAUUCAUCUGCUGAAGGACGCCUGGCUGUGAUCAGCUUUUGGUGACUGUGAAUCAUGCUGCUUUGAAAAAGGAGACCAGAGGUUCAACAUCUCUUGGGAAGAGAGAAGAGAAGGGAAAAAAAUAUAUACCGUGCU